ACGGAGGGGGCAAGCGUUGUCCGGAUUUACUGGGCGUAAAGGGUGCGUAGGCGGUUUGAUAAGUCAGAUGUGAAAGUUUGCAGCUCAACCGUAAAAAUGCAUUUAAAACUGGCAGACUUGAGUCUCGGAGAGGUAAGCGGAAUUCCUAGUGUAGCGGUGAAAUGCGUAGAGAUUAGGAAGAACACCGGUGGCGAAGGCGGUCUACUGGACGGGUACUGACGCUCAGGUGCGAAAGCGUGGGGAGCAAACAG
rnacentral:rRNA from 1 species